GACGAACGCUGGCGGCGUGCCUAAUACAUGCAAGUAGAACAGUAGCGAAAGGGUGAGUAACGCGUAGGUACCUGCCUCAUAGCGGGGGAUAACUAUUGGAAACGAUAGUUAAUAUCGCAUACUGUGAGAUGGACCUGCGUUGUAUUAGCUAGUUGGGGAGGUAAAGGCCCACAAAGGCGACGAUACAUAGCCGACCUGAGAGGGUGAUCGGCCACACUGGGACUGAGACACGGCCCAGACUCCUACGGGAGGCAACAGUGGGGAAUCUUCGGCAAUGGACGUAAGGCUGACCGAGCAACGCCGCGUGAGUGAAGAAGGUUUUCGGGUCGUAAAGCUCUGUUUUUAGGGAAGCGGUACCUAACCAGAAAGGGACGGCUAACUACGUGCCAGCAGCCGCGGUAAUAC
rnacentral:rRNA from 1 species